AAAAAGAUAAGAAAAAGAAAUUGAAGGAAAAAUUUAAUUGGAUAUUGGGUUAGUUCUUGUACCCAAAUUAAGCCCAAAUUUUCCUACCCAGCCAAAAACCAAAUUGUCCCGCCAGCCCAUAACCCGGAUUGGCCCAACCCGUCUCUUUCAAACCGCACUUUCCUAAAAUCUGGGGCUAGACCUUACCCUUAGAUCCCUACACACAGGGAACGGCGCAUUCCUUGCGUCUUCAACCUAAGAACAACAGAAGGGAACAAAAACAGGCCCCCUUUUGUUACACCCACCAAAAAGAAAACGACGAACCCCUACCAUUUUAGGCUUCUUCUUCACUUUCAUCUAGAGAUGAACAUCCCCAUUUUUCAAAACCUCAGUCAACCAUCAACCUGAAAGCAAAAAUCAGACUCUCAUUUUCAUUUCUUGGCUAAGAGCUUUCUCCGACAAAAGAUUUUGUUCUACCAGGUACAAAAUAAAUCAGACGCCAUGGAAAUCCAGAUCUAAAAAAAGUUAUUCGAAUUUCUACUCUUUCCUUCAAUUUUCUGGAAUUUGUGCUACUGAUCUACUGAACUUCUUCUUUGUUCUUUUGGUCUUUAUUUGACAUUUAAGCAAUAAGUGAUUUCCAGGUAUGUUUGUUUGCUCAGUGAUUUUCUUGUUGUAGAGCUCAAUUUUUCAGAUUUAAUACGAAUGGUAUAAUCUUUGUUGGCUUUGUUUGGUGUGAAGUUUAUUGUGAUAUUCUGUGUUUAAUAGUCUUGAUGAUUUGUUGUUGGUAAAAUUCCGUUAUCAUUUAGUUCGAUUGUUGAGCGUGUUUCAUUUUGCUUGAGACAGCCUCUUUGAAGUCUGCUUAAAGAGAGAAGGAGCCAUAUUUGUUAAUUGAAAAAAAAGAAUUGGACCUAAUUAUAUAACUAUUUCAACGAUUGGCUUAAUUAUACAAUAUUAUGUUUCUGAAUCUUGUAAUUGUAUGGCUAAGUUACGUUUCUUCAUAAACUGGAAAUGCUACACAACAAAGUUCAUGUCAAGAGGUGAUGCUGGUAAUUUAAUUAGUAUAGCUGACCCCGUUUGCUUUAGAUUUAAUUGUUGUUGUAGAUUUUAAAUUAUUGUUUUGUUUGUUUCUGUAAUAUUAACCUACUGUACAUGUCAAAGGCUAUUAUGUUGGUUGUUUCCUUUUAACACCAAGGAAGAAAUAAAUUUUCUUUAUUCAAGUCUUGGAUUUGCAUUAUUUGUUCACUUAUAUCAAGUCUAACGUGACCCUUUUUUAGUUGAAAUAGAGUUGGGUAAUUGGUACCAGCUAGCCAUAUAAUGAAGGUUUGCCACCAUUACAUGCGUAGUUUGGUUUAGACGCGUAAUUAAAUCAUCACAACUACGGGUAAUGUUCCCAUGACGUGGUUGUAAUACUUAACUUUAGAUUAGAUAAAAAUAGGAGCACCUUUAGUUUGCCUUUUUAAAAUAUAUAUAAACUCCUUUUCUUAAAAUAAUUUGAGGCAUUCCAUGCCCAAAUAAAACCCAUAAUUCAUGGUCCUCAUAAAUUGAAUCAAGAGCUAGUCCUUAUAGAAAAGGUUUGAGGUGUGCCAUAAAUAAUUAAAUCAUCCAUGGCCCUCACAAACGUUGCUACUAAAAUUGUAGUUGCUUUAGGCACGUUUUAUAAUAAAUCAUCAUGGUUAUGGGUACGGUUCCCAUGACAUAGUCCUGAUACCUAAUUCCCAAAAUCGGAGGUGCAUUUCAUGUAACCCGGUCAUAACAACUUUGAAAAAUUAAUAAAAUAAAUACGUUUGUAAAUUACGGGUGCAUUUCAUGUAGUGUGGUUCACGGUGUGUUCCAAAAUAAACAAGUGUACGACAAUCGUAACUUGUUCAAGAAAUAAUUUCAUAAAUCCUAAAAACGUUUAAAAUUAUUAAAAAGCGGUUAUAAAGUCAAAAAUUUACUAAGUUUUAAAACAUAUAAUUAAUCAGAUAAUUAGGCCAAUUUAAAUAGUUUAAGCGACCGUGCUAGAACCACGGAACCUGAGAAUGCCUAACACAUUCUCCUGGGUUAACAAAAUUUCUUAUUUAGAAUUUCUGGUUCGCAGACUUUUAAAAUAAAGUCAAAAUUUUCUCGAUUUGGUACUUUAAAAUCAACCGAUGACUUGAGACACCAAAUAAAUUAUCCCAAGUGGCGACUCUGAAUAAAUAAAAUAAUCCCAUUUCGAAUAAUGUCAUUUCAAUUGGAAAAACUCCCUUAUAUCUUCCUUCGGAUGGUAAAAAAGAUGUGUGACAAUGAGAUCAUUGAAUUCAUGACAAAUGCUGAAGUCAAAAGAUGGCAUAGUCACCAGCCAAGUAAAAUGAGUUCAAGUGACAUUUGAUGCAGAGAAGCCAGUAGAGAUUCUCGACAUCCCUGCUGAGGGUUAUGAUGACUACACCAUGCAAAGAUGGCCAAGUGUGGAUUUCCUUCUUCCUACCCUUGAAAUCACUAGGAGAUUCUGUGAUGUUGAAGAAGUGAAUGAGGUCAUGUUUGUGCACAAGAGUAAAAUGAAGCCACAUCACAAAGUCCUCUUUGAGUUUGUCAACAAGUGCCUACUGCCCAAGCAGGAAAGAAGUCAUAUUUCUAACUAUAUGGACUUAGUUCUCAUGGAGUGCCUUGAAUGUGGAAGGCAAAUCAACUGUCCCGCAUUCAUCAUCAAGCUACUGGACAGGGUUAUUAAUGGUUCCAAGACCCAUGCCACCCCCUAUGGCUGUAUUCUGACUAGUGUACUGGAUCGAUGCAAGGUGCCUCUGAAGAAAUGGGAAAUGGCCACAAGCAAGGACUACUUUGGAAUUAAUACUCUGAUUGCUUGUGACUAUCUAGUCAAUGCCAUUCCAGAUGAACCUGCAUCCAAUAAGACACUUAUCAACAGUAAAGUCAGGGCUUUAGUUCAGGAAAGUGAGGCCAAGGAUAUUGAGAUAGCUAGGUUGAAGGCUCGCUUAGCAGAGGUUGAAAUUGAGAGGGAUGCUCUCAGAACUAAGCUUACAAGGAAAAGGAGAAGAAUGACGACAUUCUUCACAAUAUGUUGAAUCUUCUCCAAGCCCAAAACCAACCCUCUAGCUCCCCCAAGCCUUAGCAAUUCUAGCCUUUAUCUCCUGAACCUGUCUAGUACCAUCAAUGAUCUAGAUUAGGGAUUUCUUUUUCUUAUUGCUCAUGUUUUGAUUAUUUUUGCUUUCUAUUUGUGGAGUGUGGUAGCAACAUAUCUUCUAUAAUGAUAUCUACUGUUUUGGUUCUUAUUGAUUGUUACUAUUUUUUGUGAACACGUGAUUUUUGCCCUAUAUCAAUUACUCCCAUAACUUCAAAACAAAAUAAUUUCUUUUAGUGUUUGCAAUUUUGUGGAUUUUUGUGGCAUUUUCUGUUAAUUGUUUGCAUUUUUGUUUGAGCAUUUUAAUUAGUGAAAAAUACAAAAAAUGCGUUGCAUGUGCAUUUAGGAGUUAAUUUUUCAUUUUAAGAAUUAUUUGGUAAUUAAAUUAUUUUAUAAAAAGGGAAAAUCACAAAAAUAGUUUAAUUUGCACAUUUUGAUUUUUACUUUGAUUUUGAGUAGUUCUUCUUUUAGUUUGUUUUUAAUUAAAUGUGAUAAUUUUUAUUUUUAAUUAGUAUUUUUUCAGGUUAAUUUAGUUUGAGGAUUUAAUUUAGGUUUUAAUUUUAAUUUUAAAAAAACAAAAGAAAAAGAAAAAAAGAAUUUUGAAGAAAAAUGAAUUAAUUGAGAUGAGCUGAUUUUGGGCCACUUAUGUUAAUUCUUUCCAGGCCCAAUGCGAAACCCAUCCAAACCUGCCCAAAUCUCAGCCCAAACUCGUACCCUAACCUGGUCUGCCCCACCCUAAAGCCAAAACGACGUCGUUUCAUCAGGCUUGAUCUGAGUCGUUGAUAGUUCCCAAUCCAACGGACAAGAACUAGUUUCCAAAACCCUACCCGCCGCCAUAUUUUCCACCACACCCACCGGCGGCGCCGACCCCUUUUCCCACCAAAUCAACACUAAAUGACCACCAUGACCUCCUCAUCCCAUAUACCCAACCCACUACCCUCGGAUCCUAAUGAGACUCUUCGAAUAUUAAAUCACAAGUUGAGCCUUAAAAGUCAAAAUCGAGAUUCUGCGGACGAUGUUGGUCCAAAAUGAUUUUAUUCACUUGUUCUCUAUGAGAACAUGCGAUUAAUAUCAGAUUGGACCAGGAAUCCAAAGAGUUGAAGAUUUGAGUUGCCUUUUUCUUGGUCCGAGUUGGAGAAGGUAUUUCUUUUUUGUCUGUGAUUAAUCUUCUUUUGUUUGGUUUUUCCUUCAUUGUUUUCUUUCUGUUCCUUCUGUUCUUCUAGUUUCUUUCUUAUUUUUGAUUACAUGCAUGAGUAAUUAAGAGUCCUGUCUUGAUUGGUUAAUUAGUUUGGUUUGACAAUUUAGUUAAUUCUUUCCGUGUUAAUUAAGCAGUAAUCUAGUUUUAGGCUCAUCAGUUGGUUAUUUCAAGUUACUAAAUCAAUUGGUAUAGAUUUUUAAUUAUUUGAACCAUUUCAGCGUGUGCUUACAUUUCACUAGUUGUGUCGUUUAGGUUCUGGGUUGGCUAUGACCCAUUUGCACAAGAACAACCCAUUCAAUUUGGCGCUCAGGUCAUUGGUUCACUCGACCCAUGACCCAUUUGGGGUAGGUUUCAAAGGUAAUUAACAGGACCUUAAAGGGUAAUUUGGGGAUUGUAGUUAAGGAAUCUUUAGUGUAAAAUAAAUAAGAAGCUUCCAUGAAGCUGGGGGUAGGGAUUAAAGUGAAUUUCUAGAUUUUAACUAGGGAUUUCUAAGCUAAAAUGAAAAUUUCAGAAGGUUUUAAGUGCAAUUUUGAACUCUUUGAGGUUGCCCUAGUAGCUUGCCUAUAAAAGGCAUUGUUAGUUAGAGCUGAUGUUUGAGUUUUGAGAGCUGGAACUCCAGAAAAUACAGAAGCUGCAGAAAUUUUACUAUUUCAUAAACCAAACAACUAGAAAUUUUCAUAAAAAUCACUGUUCCAUUGAACUUCUUCUGUGAUUUCUGGAGUAUUCAAUUUCUGAAACAAUUUCUGAGUCAUUUGGGGUAGACAUGGACUGAAUUUGUGUUUUAAAAGUCUGGUUUGAAGUUCACUGUGGUUAUUGCUCGAUUGAAAAUGGUUUUUGGACUGUUGCACAUCAUUUUUCUAUUUGAAAUUGGUUCUGCUGGUGCUGACUUCUGCUAUUGCUACUGUUGACCCUUCACCUCUUAUUUCGGUUCAUUUCCAGGUACAUGUCCUGAAACUCAUAUAACUUGAUGCUCAAGUUGAAGAAAAAUGGAAAUGGGAAUUUGAAGCAAUCACAUCAUUGUUUUGUUCAUAACUUAGUCUUAUUCUCCUUUCUUCUUCCUUGUCUCUGAAGCGUUGUUACUGAUUUCAUGAAAAUCUUUAGACGUUGUAGAAUAGUUUAAUUUCGCUUUCAUCAUAGUUAUUCUUUUGUUUAUGUUUUAGGUCUGGUUUGUAAUAUUAGUAAGCUGUGAUGUGAAUCAUGAUUCUCUAAUUAAGGUUUUCUAGGAUUUUUAGCUUCUGAAGUGUAAAUGAAUAACAAUACGCAUGUGGCUAACUUAUAAUGACCUGGGAAUGGGGUUUCAGUCAAUUUCAAUCGUGGCUUCAACACUUAGCAAUUGUAGGUUUAACUUUGAUGAUUAUUCGAUACCAAGUUUUCGGA
rnacentral:lncRNA from 1 species